CUCCCCCCCCCCCGCCUCUCUCUCACACAUACACGCGUUACUUUUGACACCGCAGUUGUCCCCGUUUGACUCCCGGGAGCAGGACGCAUCACCGGGGGAGGAAGAAACUUCUUCGCCGCUGGUUGAAAUCAAAGGACCGCGAGGAGAAGGUUGUAGCAGCCCACGGACAGCAGUGGCCGCGGUCAGUGGGAUGUUUAGAGCUGUGGAUGCAGGACUGACUGAAGGAGCAUGGUGAAACACCAACCCCUCCAGGUCUAUGAGCGCCAGCUGUGUUUGUCCUGUAUCACUGGGAUCUACGGUUGCCGCUGGAAACGCUACCAACGAUCCCACGAUGACACCACCAAGUGGGAGCUGCUGUGGUCGGUCAUCCUCCUCUUUACCUUCUGUCUGCUGCUGGUCUGGUUCUACUUCUGGUGGGAGGCCCAUAACGACUACAACGAGUUCAACUGGUUCCUCUACAACCGCUCCGGGGAGUGGAGCGAUGGCACCGUUCCCAUCCUGGCCACCACCGCCGCUGGCUUCACCUACGUUGCGUUUUUAAUGGUUUUAGCACUUUGUCAUGUUGCACUUGGGCAACAGCUGAAUUUGCACUGGCUCCAUAAGAUAGGAGUGACUGCUGCUCUGCUCACCACCACCGUCGGGGUGAUAUCUGUCAAUCAAACAUGGGGCCAAGAGUGGGACGUCGUCCCCAUCUCGCUGCAGGCCACAGGUCCCUUCCUGCACAUAGGCGCUCUUGCGGCGGUCACAGCUCUGUCUUGGAUUGUGGCCGGACAAGUCGCCCGCUCGGAAAAAACAAUGUUCCAGGUGGUGGUCGUGCUGCUCUAUCUCAGCCUGUUGCUGGGACUCUACAUGGCGCCCCUGUGCAUCACCUCCCCCUGCAUCAUGGACCCCAGCACCCUCAAGCAGCGCCCCGACGUCAUCGGCCACCGGGGAGCCCCCAUGCUUGCCCCAGAGAACACACUGUGGUCCUUUCAGAAAGCGCUGCAGAUGAACGUCACUGGGUUUGAGGCUGACGUUUCUAUCAGCGUGGACGGAGUGCCUUUCCUGAUGCACGACGACACCCUGCGGAGGACCACCGACGUGGAGAAGGUUUUCCCGGACAGGCGAAUGGAGGACGCCUCGUCCUUCAACUGGACCGAUCUGCAGCAGCUCAGCGCGGGCCGGUGGUUCCUCAAGGAGGACCCUUUCUGGAUGGUGCGCACUCUUUCCCCGCGUGAGAAGGAACUGAUCUCCAACCAGAGUGUGUGCAGCCUGGAGCAGCUUCUGAAGCUGGCUUCCUAUCACAACAGCACAGUGGUUUUCCGGCUGAGGAGGCCCCCCCCGACGCACCCCUGCCACCACAGCUGGAUCAACGAUACUCUGCAGGCCGUGCUGCAGUCCGGGGUUCCUCAGGGUCUGGUGAUGUGGACUCCAGAUGAAUACAGAGCUCAGGUGAGACAGCGGGCUCCGGGUCUGAUCCAGACCUCCGCGAAGAAAGACAGCCCCCAAGGCCUCCAACAGCACGGCGUCAGCAGGCUGCUGCUCAGGUACAACCAGGCCAGCACACAGGAAAUCAGAAACUUCUCCCAGAGCAACGUGAAACUCACCCUGUACACCAUCAACGAGCCCUGGCUGUACUCGGUGCUGUGGUGCAGCGGGGUGUCGUCCGUCUCUUCGGAGGCCUCGCAUAUCCUCAGAAAGGUGCCUUACCCCAUCUGGCUCAUGAGACCAGAUGAAUACUGCCUGAUGUGGGUGUCCAUGGACCUCAUCUCCUUUGCUGUCGUCAUAGGAAUAUUCAUUUUCCAGAACUAUCACAUGAUCAGGUAUCGGAUGAGCGGCAUGCGAAGCUACAACCCGGAGCAGAUCAUGCUGAGCGCCGCCGUGACCAGGUCCAGCAGGGACCUGAACGUCAUGAAGGAGAAACUCAUCUUCUCUGGUCAAGCGCAGUAGCGGCCUGUGUGAUGUGCACCACCUCCAGCAGGGACUUUGUCCUCUAUUCCACCCGCCUGUUGCAUCCCCCGUUGCCUCCACCUCUGUGCCCCCUGUGCCCUUCUCCCCUCCAUUCACCCACCCACCCACCCAUUACCACAUGCACCAUAAAACCUCCCCCACUACCCUCCCACCGGAGACAACGGCACGCCUGGGGGGGGGGGCUUAUAGACGCCCCGGUCUGUCUAGACAGCCUCUAGUGCUGGGGGGGGGGUCAAAGAGGUGGGCAACGGAGUUGGCGGUGCAGACGAGCUGUACGAGGACAACGGCUACGACUACUACGCCAACCACGGCAUCGGCCCGUGAGCCGGCGCCCCGGCCCGCGUGGAUCUGCUGAUGUGAGACUCCCGGGUCUCUGGAUCCUUUCUGUUCCAAGUCAUCGUGAAGGCUGAAACUCCUCCUCCUUCUCCUGCUCCUCCUCCUGCUGCCGGAGGGACGGAGCGCUCCACCCCGAUGGAGAGCAGCCACCACCCGGCGCCUCUCUGUACAUUCUGUAAAUAGUUCUGCGUGGCGUGAACCGCACGGGACCAAGCGCACUUUUCAUUGACGGAAACCUCCAGUCUGCGGCCUCGUCUCCUGCAUCCAAACGUGCGAGAGGCCCCCCCCCCCACGAGUUACCAACGCAAGCUUCUUUUUAAACAUGCGUUUCCACAUUCUUUGUUGUUUUUAAGCUAUUCUUUUCCAAAGUGUUUUACUGUCCACAAGUUUCUUCUCUUCAAGGAGUCUUCUUCUAAGGCCUGAUUGCAGCAUGGGACAGAAAAGCACUAACAUUAAUAUUUAUAUUUAAAUAAAGAAAUAAAUAAAUAAGAGCAAGCUGUUUACAGAAGUCCUGCCUUCUCUUCCAAGUGAAAUAUUCACGUGGUAAAUGUAAGAUAAUCAUUUUGAUAUAGCUUGAAAGCGCGCCCCCCCCCCCCCCCCCCCAGUGCAUGUAACUGUAACGAUGGACACAUGUGAGCUGUGCUCCCAGUACAAGUGGAGAUGGUUUGAGGGGGUAAAGAGCUCCUCUUUUGUGGUUAACGUGAAUGUGUUUGUUCUUUAAGAUGUGAACAGUGUAUUCCAGCUGGCUAUGCUGCUUUUCUUUUGUACCCUGUGUGCAGUGCUAUGUAGAGUGUAUUAUUGUACAUAUAAAAGGUGUGUGUGUGUGUGUGUGUGUGUGUGUGUGUGUGUGUGUGUGUGUGUG